rnacentral:misc_RNA from 1 species
UUUGACGGAAUGAAAUUGUUAUAACCUCAAUAUGUAAACAAAUGAAACAAAUACAAAAUACAAUGUCAAUUUUCUCUUUAAUUUGGUACAUUUAAAUAUUAUGGUACAUUUUUAUUGCAGGCUCUGCAUCUUUUUUGUAGGACUCUUAUUAGGGAUAUUACUAACUAAAUUAUAUACUCAGGUAGACAAAUCAUCAUCGAAGGCAUAUUAUAAGAUAUGGUUCAAAAAACAAGGCUUUUUGAAAAGAAGUAUGUCAUGGGAUAUAUUGAGGUACAAAAAUAAUCGUAAUAUUAAGGGAACGCUAGAGUCUGACUUGCUUUUUAAGAAAGUUAAAAUUUUAUGUAUAAUACUGUUGAAACAAAACAAAUACGAGAAACAUAUCCAAUCAACAUGGGCAAAAGGUUGCAAUGCAAUUAAGUUUGUUAAUGUUCAAAGAACUAAAAGUAUUCCUUUAAAGAGGGAUAAUAAAAACUCUUCUUGGGCAAAACUUUGCCAAACUCUACAAGAUGUAGAAAGCUAUAACUGGAUCUUGAUUGCAAAUGAAUAUACUUUUGUGAUAAUGGAAAAUUUGAGGUACCUGUUGGCUCCACUUAAUCCAGAAUAUAAAUAUUAUAUAGGGCAUACUGUAGAAUUUUGGAAAUUACCCUAUAAUACAGUUGACAGUGGAAUUGUGUUAAGUGAAGGUUCACUCAAAAGUCUAAGACAAAAUAUUAACAGAAAUGAUUGUCUAUCAUUUUCUUUUUCGAAUAGAGAAGAUUAUUAUCUGGGGAAAAGCUUGGCACAAUUAAAUAUUACACCUAUUGAUAUAAGGGAUGAAAAUGGUUUUACAUUAUUUUUUCCAAGUAAUUUAAAUUCGCUAAUAUUUUAUGAAGAUAGUCAAUACAAAUCAAGUAUAUUUCCUAUAAAAUGUUGUAGUAAACUCAUAAUAUCGUUUCAGGCGGUAGAUGGUGAUAAAAUGUACACAUACUAUUAUUUGCUUUAUGUUGUACAACUGUUUAUGGAAGGCAACUUGGGAAAUAAAUUAAACUCUCAAAAUAACGACGAUCAGAUAUAAUAGUUGGAUUCUUUCUAAAUAUUUUUUCAAGCCGCCCAAAAACUCUAUCUGCUGGCAUAAAACUAUGACCUCUUACUGGAUAGGUAUGGAAAAACUUUUUGAAGUCAAGAAAUAUCACGAAUUAUAACAUUUCAAGUGCCGAAUAUUAUCAAGUUUGGGAAAAUUUAAUAGACGACCCUACAUCUUUUGCAGCAAAUAUGAAGAGGGAUGUAGAAGAAUA